rnacentral:rRNA from 1 species
UCUGGUUGAUCCUGCCAGUAGUCAUAUGCUUGUCUCAAAGAUUAAGCCAUGCAUGUCUAAGUACAAACCUUAAUACGGUGAAACCGCGAAUGGCUCAUUAAAUCAGCUAUGGUUCCUUAGAUCGUCUCAUCCUACUCGGAUAACUGUGGAAAAUCUAGAGCUAAUACGUGCUUACAAGCCCUGACCUCACGGGAGGGGCGCAUUUAUUAGAUCAAAACCAAUCGGGGCUUGCCCCGUCUGCUUGGUGACUCUGGAUAACUUUUGUGCUGAUCGCAUGGCCUCUGCGCUGGCGACGUAUCUUUCAAGUGUCUGCCCUAUCAACUUACGAUGGUAGGUGAUAUGCCUACCAUGGUUAUAACGGGUAACGGGGAAUCAGGGUUCGAUUCCGGAGAGGGAGCCUGAGAAACGGCUACCACAUCUAAGGAAGGCAGCAGGCGCGCAAAUUACCCACUCCCGGCACGGGGAGGUAGUGACGAAAAAUAACGAUACGGGACUCUUUUGAGGCCCCGUAAUUGGAAUGAGUACACUUUAAAUCCGUUAACAAGUAUCUAUUGGAGGGCAAGUCUGGUGCCAGCAGCCGCGGUAAUUCCAGCUCCAAUAGCGUAUAUUAAUGUUGCUGCAGUUAAAAAGCUCGUAGUUGGAUCUGAGGACUCGAAUUGGUGGUGCACCAUACGGUGUUACUGCCGAUUCGGCCUACCUAGUCGGUGCUCGCUCUUGGUGUUCUUAAUUGAAUGCCCUGAGUGCCCGGCAAGUUUACUUUGAAAAAAUUAGAGUGCUCAAAGCAGGCCAUUAGCCGGAAUACUUCAGCAUGGAAUAAUGGAAUAGGACUUCGGUUCUAUUUUGUUGGUUUUCGGAACCCGAGGUAAUGAUUAAGAGAGACAGACGGGGGCAUUCGUACUGCGGUGUUAGAGGUGAAAUUCUUGGAUCGCCGCAAGACGAACAACUGCGAAAGCAUUUGCCAAGAAUGUUUUCAUUAAUCAAGAACGAAAGUCAGAGGUUCGAAGACGAUCAGAUACCGUCCUAGUUCUGACCAUAAACGAUGCCAACUGGCGAUCCGAGAUCGUUUGCUUAUUGACCUCUCGGGCAGCCUCCGGGAAACCAAAGUUUUUAGGUUCCGGGGGAAGUAUGGUUGCAAAGCUGGAACUGUUUUUCUUUGCACUAAACUAGGGUGGUCGGGUUACUUGGUCUGUUCUGGCCCGGAGUCGGUAGGGUUUCCGGCCUUGUGCUCUUUCCUUACUGUUCUCUGUAACGCCGAAGGCGGGGCUUCCACGGUGGGGAAGCGGUUGUACAAAUCCGGCAAAUCCAGCCAAAUGGGUUCCGGACUCUGUCCAACCUGCAACUGGUAACAGCCUCGGCUGGCUAACAUUUGAGCUGGGACUCGCUUGGGAGGAGCGAGGAUAAUAUAAACCUCUAUGUGACUGAGGUGAGGAAUCUGGUUCUCGUAAAAUGGCUGGAGAUCCCGAGCCUGUAAGUCAUAAAUUAGUUCCCCCACGAGGGGAGGUGUCGAAUUGAAGCCAGUGCGUGCCCUUACUAGUUUAAGGGAUUGUAUACUUCCUUUGGUGUACCCACCUGGAAGUGCCCAAGGGUCCUAU